rfam:Opisthorchis viverrini scaffold4861.1, whole genome shotgun sequence.
GUACCGGCCCUAUUCAGGGCCACCAUAUAUUGAUUGAACUCAUCG